AUUGAACGCUGGCGGCAGGCCUAACACAUGCAAGUCGAACGGUAACAGGAAACAGCUUGCUGUUUCGCUGACGAGUGGCGGACGGGUGAGUAAUGUCUGGGAAACUGCCUGAUGGAGGGGGAUAACUACUGGAAACGGUAGCUAAUACCGCAUAACGUCGCAAGACCAAAGAGGGGGACCUUCGGGCCUCUUGCCAUCGGAUGUGCCCAGAUGGGAUUAGCUAGUAGGUGGGGUAACGGCUCACCUAGGCGACGAUCCCUAGCUGGUCUGAGAGGAUGACCGGCCACACGGGAACUGAGACACGGCCCAGACCCCCACGGGAGGGAGCAGGGGGGAAUAUUGCAAAAGGGGCGAAAGCCUGAGGCAGCCAGGCCGGGUGUAUGAAGAAGGCCUGCGGGUUGUAAAGUACUUUCAGGGGGGAUGAAGGGAGGAAAGUUAAUCCCUUUGCUCAUUGACGUUACCCGCAGAAGAAGCACCGGCUAACCCCGU
rnacentral:rRNA from 1 species